ACCUGGCUGGCUCAGUCGGCAGAGCGUGUGACUUUUGAUCUCGGGGUGAUGAGUUGGAGCCCUGUGCUGGGUA
rnacentral:tRNA from 1 species